GUUCUCCGCGUCUUUUUUGGAUCGGGGAACUACGGAGAGAAUUGCGUGUGAAGUCCCUACAUUCUAGAACAAAAUAUUUGUGUAGAUCUUGAAUAGUUGAUUUCAUCUGCUUGUUCAGUUAUUUCGUUCAUACAGGAUCUAAGGUAAAGAAGGAAAUGGAGAGAGCGAUACUGAAUUGGGUUCCAGAAAAUUGGGAAAAGGGUGUGAUGAGCACACAUUCUUGGUGCCAACAAAUAGAGCUGGACCGAUAUUCUGAAGAAUUUAAACAACUUCAGUUUGAAAUUCGAAUUGCUUUAAAAGACAAUAAUAAACACAUAGAGCAUAUCCAGAGAAAUCAAUCAGUUUAUGACAUUGGGCAAUUCCUUAUUAGAGGACAACUUCUCUUGACUUUGAACCCUGGUACCAUCUAUUACCAGGUGAGGCGUUAUAUUAAAAUAAGGUCCAAUUUCCUAACAAUGGCACUGAAUUAUAAUGUGGAUCACAGAAGAUGUGGUUUACACUCAGUUGUUUUCCUAAGUGAAAUACCUAAUUUGACAAGUGAUGAUAUUCUAUUGGUUAUACAGGUCAUAACUACUACUCCACAUAGCACAUAUAUAACGCCUUCAAACAGUUCAGACUAUUAUAUUGAGUAUAUUGUGAGAUUCUGAAGAAACUUCUUCAUAUCUUAUGAAUCUAGAGAUAAUACUUGGGUUUUUUAAAGUUUUAUUGUCACUUCAUAUUUUUUACCUAUUGGAUCAUAUAAAGUUAACCUUUGUAAUAUUAUUUUAUUAUUGUUUAUAUAUUUUAGAUAACUCUAAUUUUUAAUAAUGUAUUCAGUUGAUAUAUAUUUUAAUGAGGACUCAAUUUGUAAAAUAAAUGUCCAACAUAUAAACAAAUUGAUUAAUUAAUAUAAGAAACCUAUAUUACUUUCGCAAUAAAUAUGCCAUUUCAAUAUUAGCCAAAGAAAGUUGAAGCUAGUUUAUGUAUGUUAAGUUUAGAACAUUUAUAUUUGUUGAAAAUUAUUCUAUAAAUUAUUUUAAAAAGCAUGUGAUGAAUUCAGUAUUCCUUUCCUUUUUUAUAAUGUAUAUGAUAUCUAAUUAAGUUAAUGAUCAUUUGUUCUGAUUUAGUUCAGAUAACAUUGUUUUAUUAUGAGAAAUAAAUAUAUGACUGAAUAUUUUACA